GGUAACGCGAGAUAUUAGUGCGGUUCAAUCAAAUAGUCGUCCUCUUAACUCAUGGAGAUCGGUGUUGUUCGAUUGAGCCGUGCCAAUAUCACGCGGUAAACC
rfam:Arabidopsis lyrata subsp. lyrata unplaced genomic scaffold ARALYscaffold_1, whole genome shotgun sequence.